CAAGAGCUUCUCGACAAAGGUUAUAUACGCGAAUCCCUUAGUCCUUGUGCUGUUCCUAUUAUUCUAGUGCCGAAAAAGGAUGGUACAUCACGUAUGUGUGUUGAUUGUAGAGGCAUUAAUAAUAUUACUAUACGUUAUCGUCAUCCUAUUCCUAGGCUAGAUGAUAUGCUUGAUGAAUUGAGUGGCUCUACAAUAUUCUCCAAAGUUGAUUUGCGUAGUGGCUACCAUCAAAUUCGUAUGAAAUUGGGAGCUGAAUGGAAAACAGCAUUUAAAACUAAGUUUGGAUUAUAUGAGUGGUUAGUCAUGCCUUUUGGGUUAAGUAAUGCACCUAGUACUUUCAUGAGAUUAAUGAACGAA
rnacentral:rRNA from 1 species